rnacentral:rRNA from 1 species
GACGAACGCUGGCGGCGUGCUUAACACAUGCAAGUCGAACGAAGAGCGAUGGAAGCUUGCUUCUAUCAAUCUUAGUGGCGAACGGGUGAGUAACGCGUAAUCAACCUUCCCUUCAGAGGGGGACAACAGUUGGAAACGACUGCUAAUACCGCAUACGAUCUAAUCUCGGCAUCGAGGAUAGAUGAAAGGUGGCCUCUACAUGUAAGCUAUCACUGAAGGAGGGGAUUGCGUCUGAUUGGCUAGUUGGAGGGGUAACGGCCCACCAAGGCGAUGAUCAGUAGCCGGUCUGAGAGGAUGAACGGCCACAUUGGGACUGAGACACGGCCCAGACUCCUACGGGAGGCAGCAGUGGGGAAUCUUCCGCAAUGGACGAAAGUCUGACGGAGCAACGCCGCGUGAGUGAUGACGGCCUUCGGGUUGUAAAGCUCUGUUAAUCGGGACGAAAGGCCUUCUUGCGAAUAGUGAGAAGGAUUGACGGUACCGGAAUAGAAAGCCACGGCUAACUACGUG